AUGAUGGGACUUUCUUUUUUAGAGAUAAAGUCAGAUAUAGUAAGUCUCGUUAAUGGCCCAAAAAUAGAAAGUUACACUUUCAAGCUUAACUAGUGAAGUUACCUGUGCAUUUGCGGCAGAAUGAUACUAUAGAAUAUAAAAUACAAAUAAAAUAAAAUAAAAAUUUUAAAUUUUUUGAUUUGAUAUGGGACUUCAAUAAACUCAAAUAUAAAAUAUAAAAUAGAUAUAGGUAUAGAUAUAACAAAAUUUAUAAUUUCGAUAAAUAAAUCACACAUAAUAAUAAUAAAAUAAGCAAUAAAUUUUUUUUACCCCAUACACAUCUUCAUUGCACUAUCGACAUCGGAGAGGCAAAUUCCGAUCUUUACAUCGCCUUCGCCGCUAGUGUCCAGCUCCUCUUUAGUCACGACCAUAUCAAUCCCGUAUCCACAACUGCUUCUUCUCUCUCACUGACUCCAAAUUCAUCACCGUUUUCUUCUACAGCGCUCCGUCGCGAUCCUCGAAACCCUAAUUUCAAUCCACACACAACAAAAAAAUUUAAAAAGUUACAAAACAUGAGUCCUUUUUGUGCGCCAAGAAAAAAAGGAAAAAAAGAUAUGAAGAAAUGGAGAUUAAACCAUGUAAACAUAUUAAUUGAGAGAUAAGAGGAAGAAAAAAAAACAAUAUGAAAAAAAGAUAUGAAGAAAUAGAGAUGAAACCAUGUAAACAUAUUAAUUAAGAGAUAGGGAGGUUAGGAAGAUGAAGCAUUGGGUGGAGAUGGUAUUAUGUAAACACAUUAAUUGAGUGGGGGUUUAGGAAGAUGAAACAUUGGGUGAAAAUGGGAGUAGAAAGAGAGAAGAGGAAAGAGUGAAGGAGAAUUCACCACGUGGCAAAAAAUUAGGAGAAAUAAUGUAUAUAAUAAUAAUAAUAAUAAUAAUAAUAAUAAUAAUAAUAAUAUAAUAUAUAUAUAUAGAGUUGAGCUAGAAUACUAUCGAUAGCAAACGGACUCCGUUGUCAUCCAUUUGUUUUCGAUGAUAGAGCCUCCAAAUCGACGAUCGACACCGUUGAAUAUAAUCUAUACCACUUGAAGUAUUUAGAAAUUAAAUUUUAAAUCUUUUCGACAUCAUUUGCCUAAUGAUCAAAGAGUUUCAAAAUUUGUAAUUUUAAUGGUCGAUAUGAGGCGUUUUCUCAUUUAACGGCGUAAAGAUAUCUAAAUCAAUUGAAUUUUUGUUAGAAAAUUCUUUAAACUAUUUAAAACACGAUCUAUACUCUUGAUCUUGAUUACAAGACUCCUAUCAUCAUUUUUUAAAGGAUAUUCAUUUUCGGCCGUUCAUUUUUGUGUCCACUCGAUGGAUAAGAGAACAAUAUCGAAAAUGUAUGAAAUUUGAUUUCUAAAUACUUCAACUGUUAUAGAUCAUGUUCAACGGUGCCGAUUGUUGAUUUGGAGGUUCCAUCAUCGAAAACAAAUGGGUGGCAACGGAGCCCGUUUGCUAUCGAUAGUAUUCUAGCUCAACUCUAUAUAUAUAUAUAUAUAGGUAUAGAUAUAGAUAUAGAUAGCUUAGGGACCCGUGCGAUGCGGCGGGUAGAAAUACUUUAGUAAAAAUCUACAGAGUACAGAUUUAACAAACAAAUAAAAAUGUUAAAAAGAAACAGAAGAAAUAUUUAAAAUAUUAUGAAAGAUAAUAAAUAAUGAAAGAAAAACUAAAAAAGCUCAAAUUCACAUUUAACUAAUCAUAUAAAGAUAUUUAUCUAUCCUAUCAUCUUUCCUAACUCAAAUUAGAUUUCUCUUAAAAGCCAAUUAUUAUUACAUUUGCCUAUGAACAUCCAAAUUGUCAUGCCAUCAGCGAAUUAGUACGGAAUGUAAAAGAAUAGAAGAAAAAAAUAUAUGAUAGUCAUCAAAUAAAUUUAAAAAUAAUAAUAGUUAGUUUUUAACUACCGUUAAAUUGUAAAAACCCACUUUUCAUAUAUCUAUAAGCCAACAAUCUAUAUAUUAUAUUUAGUUUGUUGAUGCAAAUACUAAUUUAAUCAGUUUUUUUGAUAAUUUUACUCCAUCAAUUUUUGUGUAACUCAAAUGACUUAUUCAUGAACAAUAAUGUACAACAAAAAAAAAAGAGAAAUAAUAUUUUUAGAAGUUGUAGCCUCUAUCCACGACUUAGAUCAAAAUAAUAAUAACCAAGUCCACCACUCUACAUAUGCACUGUAAUCGGUUAAUCUUCUGCUGCGGUUUUGGGAGAUGAGGGAUGUCGGGGGGUUGGGAGAUGAGGAGGGAGCAGUUUUGGAAGAUGAGGGGUCUCGGGGGUUGGAAGAUGAGAAGGGAGCGGUUUUGGAAGAUGAGGGGUCUCGGGGGUUGAGAGAUGAGAGAGGAGCAAUUUUGGGAGAAGGAGGUAACGCCACGUCAGCAAGAUAUUGGGGAUUCAUAGAUUAGUAUAGAUAUUAUGCUGUGAUUUGCUCUUUUUUUUCUUUUUUUUUUU
rnacentral:lncRNA from 1 species